rnacentral:sRNA from 1 species
CAGAUUUGCUGGCCCCAGAGGGGGCAGGAGGGGCUGGCAAGGCCCGUUCCAGACUUUGCUAACCCUGCCUUCCCACAGGGGCUUCUUCACGUGCCUUGGCCGCGAGGGGCGGGUGUAUGAUGACCUCAAGUAUGUGUGGCUGCAGGGGAGGCAGGUAUGGAUGUAUUGUCGCCUGUACCGCACUUUUGAGCGCUUCCGCCAUGCUCAGCUUCUGGACGCAGCAAAAGCAGGUGGUGAGUUCUUGCUGCGGUAUGCCCGGGUGGCACCUCCUGGCAAGAAGUGUGCCUUUGUGCUGACUCGGGACGGCCGCCCGGUCAAGGUGCAGCGAACCAUCUUCAGUGAGUGUUUCUACACCAUGGCCAUGAACGAGCUGUGGAGGGCCACAGGGGAAGUGCGGUACCAGACGGAAGCGGUGGAGAUGAUGG